rnacentral:lncRNA from 1 species
GGGGGGGGGGGGGGGGAAGGUGGUCCAUUUACCUUCUCCCACUUUGUUACAAAAGGUUAAUAUAUAAUAGGACAAUCAUUCAUUCAGAAAUUAGGCCAAUGCCCUGAGUACAGGGCAAUUAUCAUACAAGGAUCUUACAAACCCUUCACUAUAGAUGACAGAUCGGUAGGAUCGACCUGCAUAAAAAAAUAAAUAAAAUAAAAUAAAAUAAAUAAAUUUGUGUGCCCCGCCCCUUGUGUGUGUUCUAGCUUUGCCAGGUCUGUGCCUAUACGUGAAUCACGGCUCAAGAAAUUAUAGGACACUACAUUUUUGUAGCACGUGUUAUAAUAUAGCCAUUACAUUGACCUAGACCUAGUUUCUUACAAAAUGAUGUAUGACACUUGUUCACAAAUUAUGGAAUGUUCAACUUAUGACAAAACGUUAUGAUUAGUAAAUUAUAUGAUAAUCAUUCCAUUGACCUAGACAUAGAGCUAUGGGUGGAAAUGGAUCAGGAUGUUCGUCGGUUUGACUUAUCUAGACUCAAUUCACGGUGACUUGGGCUCGUGGAUUGAUUCGUUUUUUCUCAUCUUUGGACUUAUUUUAUUAAUUCUUUUAAAAAUUGUUUGUUUUGGACUUAUUUUGAUAAUUUAUUCUUUUUUCCUUGACAGAAAGGGUGAACUCAUUGGUAGUUGGCUCAACCCAUGGACCCACAAAUCAAAGGGCAGGAUUGAUCCUAGGAUUUGAAUAUGAGUCGAGCGAGCUCCGGUCUCUAUGGGCCAAGUUAGCUCGGCUCAAGCCCAUUACUAUACCUACUUCAGACAUGUUUGGUAUGGCUUCUUUUUAUGCUUUAACUUUUUGUAAAAGAGUUUUACGAGAAUUUUUCUUUGUAACUGUAUUCUAUAAAAGUUAUUUUAAUUAGAUAAAGUACUUUCAGAAAAUUAUAUAAAAAUGUUUAAAAUCAACUUACUUUUUUAUAAGUAACUUUUGACAUUUUAAAAACUUCACCAAACGAGCCCUUAGUUUGUAACCAAAUGUUGGAAUAGCAUAUGUACUAUUACAAGCCAAUCACUUUUCAAAAUAUGGAAUGUUCAAUUUAUGACAAAACAUUAUAAUAAUCCAUUUUAUAUGACAAUCAUUCCAUUAACCUAAACCUAGUUCGUACAAAAUUUUGGAAAUACCAUAUUUAUUAUAUGAAAAUCAUUCAAAAUUAUGGACUGUCCAAUUUCUGACAAAACGUUGUAAUACCAUUUACUAUAACUUAUUACUUUUAAUUGCUACAUAGAUUCUUUCAAUAAAAUUCAAUUUUUUUAUUAAAAAAAUAUCAUUUUAAUAAUAGAAGUUCAGAAUUUUCCUCGUUCGUAAAUGGCUUAGUCCAAGUUUGACACUGGAAAAGCCAUGUUUGAGAAAUAAAAUCUUAAAAAUUGUAGAGAUUCUUUUGUCACAAGUUGUGAUCUAGUGAUGUUGCUCUCUGUCACACAACACCUACGCAUUUUUCAUAUAUUUUUUGAUAAGACAAAAAAUUAAAAUACGUAUAUCACGUUUCAUUUUAAUAGACGGGACGAGCAAAGUCUUGGGAUGGUCGACAUGUUUUUACGCGUCUGAUAGUAGUCUCGUGCCUAAAUUAUAAAUGUGACUAUAUUCAUAAAAUUGAUGUGAUUUCAAUAGAACAUAUUAGAAAAUUUAAGAAGUUCGAAUAAUAAUACCUCUAUCAAGAAUUUAAUCUCUAGUGAACUCACGAAGACUUUCACUUAUCUUCAAACAGACCCAUUGAUGUAGACGAUAAACGGGAAUUAUACAAUAUACAUAAUUUAGGAGAUUUUUUGAUGGAAUGAACGAAUUUCUUUGAUUCAAUUUUUAAGUUUUAAAGCAUCAUUUAUAAAAGAGAAAAAAAAGGGAGGGGGGGGGGGGGGGGGGGGGAAAAAAAGGUUUCUGUGCAGUGCAAUCAUGAGAACAAGAACAAGGAGGAGGAAAUUACACAGAAAGACAGACGAAAGUAUUAAGUCAACGGGUCAAGCCAUCUUACCACCUAAGCAUUUAAGUCCACAAAAUUCGAAGUGAUGCCAGAGAACAAUUUGAACUUUAUCACAUACUGGACUUUUUUGAGUUUGUAGUUUGCACGAACAUUGCACCUAGAUACGAUUGUAAGAGUUAG